rnacentral:rRNA from 1 species
CAGUAGCCACGGUAAUACGGAGGGUGCAAGCGUUACUCGGGAUCACUGGGCGUAAAGGACGCGUAGGCGGAUUAUCAAGUCUCUUGUGAAAUCUAACGGCUUAACCGUUAAACUGCUUGGGAAACUGAUAAUCUAGAGUAAGGGAGAGGCAGAUGGAAUUCUUGGUGUAGGGGUAGAAUCCGUAGAGAUCAAGAAGAAUACCCAUUGCGAAAGCGAUCUGCCGGAACUUAACUGACGCUAAUGCGUGAAAGCGUGGGGAGCAAACAGGAUUAGAUACCCCCGUAGUCCCUGUCUCUUAUAC